GAUGAACGCUGGCGGCGUGCUUAACACAUGCAAGUCGAACGGAAAGGCCCAAGCUUGCUUGGGUACUCGAGUGGCGAACGGGUGAGUAACACGUGGGUGAUCUGCCCUGCACUUCGGGAUAAGCCUGGGAAACUGGGUCUAAUACCGGAUAGGACCACUUCUUGGAUGUUGUGGUGGAAAGUUUUUUCGGUGUGGGAUGAGCUCGCGGCCUAUCAGCUUGUUGGUGGGGUAAUGGCCUACCAAGGCGUCGACGGGUAGCCGGCCUGAGAGGGUGUACGGCCACAUUGGGACUGAGAUACGGCCCAGACUCCUACGGGAGGCAGCAGUGGGGAAUAUUGCACAAUGGGCGCAAGCCUGAUGCAGCGAGGCCGCGUGGGGGAUGACGGCCUUCGGGUUGUAAACUCCUUUCGCUAGGGACGAAGCGUUUUGUGACGGUACCUGGAGAAGAAGCACCGGCUAACUACGUG
rnacentral:rRNA from 1 species